CAUGAAUGGUAUCAGAGCAGAGUAGCCACUUUGCCAAAUUUAACUUCACUGAAUAAGUAUCAUGCUACAGAGUCUGCUUCUCCGUGCUUCUAAUUCUAUCUCGCUACCGUUGCCUAACCGUCACCAACUCUCUCCGUCUCCAAAACCAUUCUCUGCUUGGAUAGACGCAGCUCCCUCUGCUGGACAAUCGCCCUCCAAUUAUCGAUCUGCACUCCCUUCUCUCCGCUGUACUGCUGUUGGUGGAGGAAGUGAG
rnacentral:misc_RNA from 1 species